rnacentral:lncRNA from 11 species
UAACAAACAGCAUUAAAAAAAACAAGAGCUAGCUCCUUGAAUUUUAUAUCCAAUGACACAAGAUAACAGGGAUAAUUCCCCCCACUUACAUCUACUGAUUUUAGAGAUUUAAAAAAAAGUUUUGAUAAAAACAUACUGUUUAGGGAGGGACAACUUCCUUUCCCCUCUUCUGAUUGGUGCAUUCUCAUUCUGUUGCAUACUGGGAAAUGUAGUUUAGGGCAGAGCCUUUUGAAUUCUUUGGCGUAGGACUGCUCCCCUUCCCAAACCACAUUUCCCAAGUUCUGUGUUGUUCCCAAAAUGCAAGGCCUCCUGUCUUCACACCAAAAAGCAAGCCACCAUGAAGUCUUCAAGCAGAGAAGCCAUUAAUUUACAGAGAGAGGAAAGACAAAGGAGCACUCUGAUGAAAUUACCAAUCAAACAGGUACAAAUCACCAGCCAUCAAGGAGAGAAGCAGAGAACUGAC